AGAGUUUGAUCCUGGCUCAGAAUGAACGCUGGCGGCGUGCUUAACACAUGCAAGUCGAACGAUGAAGCCUAGCUUGCUAGGUGGAUUAGUGGCGCACGGGUGAGUAAUAUAUAGGUAACGUGCCUCUUAGUCUGGGAUAGCCAUUGGAAACGAUGAUUAAUACUGGAUACUCCUUCUAACUCUAAUGUUAGUCGGGAAAGUUUUUCGCUAAGAGAUCGGCCUAUUUCCCAUCAGCUUGUUGGUAGUGUAAGAGACUACCAAGGCUAUGACGGGUAGCGGGUUUGAGAGGAUGAUCCGCCACACUGGUACUGAGACACGGACCAGACUCCUACGGGAGGCAGCAGUGAGGAAUAUUGCACAAUGGGGGAAACCCUGAUGCAGCAACGCCGCGUGGAGGAUGACGCAUUUCGGUGUGUAAACUCCUUUUAUGAGUCAAGAAAAUGACGGUAGCUCAUGAAUAAGCACCGGCUAACUCCGUGCCAGCAGCCGCGGUAAUACGGAGGGUGCAAGCGUUACCCGGAAUCACUGGGUGUAAAGGGUUCGUAGGCGGUUUAAAAAGUUGAAUAUGAAAGACCGAGGCUCAACCUCGUGUUUGUCUUCAAAACUGUUAAACUAGAAUCAGGGAGAGGUAAGCGGAAUUCUGUGUGUAGGGGUGCAAUCCGUAGAUACACAGAGGAACACCAAAAGCGAAGGCAGCUUACUGGAACUGUAUUGACGUUCAUGAACGAAAGCGUGGGUAGCGAAAAGGAUUAGAUACCCUUGUAGUCCACGCCCUAAACGAUGAUAACUAAGUGUUGGGACUAGCUCCCAGUGCUGUAGCUAACGCGUUAAGUUAUCCACCUGAGGAGUACGGUCGCAAGAUUAAAACUCAAAGGAAUAGACGGGGACCCACACAAGCAGUGGAUCACGUGGUUUAAUUCGACAAUAAACGGGGAACCUUACCCAGACUUGACAUCUAUCGAAUCUUUCAGAAAUGAGAGAGUGCCUUUAUUGGAGCGGUAAGACAGGUGCUGCAUGGUUGUCGUCAGCUCGUGCCUUGAGGUGUUCGGUUAAGUCCCGCAACGAGCGCAACCCUCGUCCUUAGUUGCCAGCAGGUUAAGCUGGGCACUCUAGGGAGACUGCCUUCGUAAGGAGGAGGAAGGUGAGGACGACGUCAAGUCAUCAUGGCCCUUAUGGCUAGGGCUACACACGUGCUACAAUGGGGCGUACAGAGAGUUGCGAUACCGCGAGGUGGAGCUAAUCUCACAAAGCGUCUCUCAGUUCGGAUUGAAGUCUGCAACUCGACUUCAUGAAGCUGGAAUCACUAGUAAUCGUAGAUCAGCAAUGCUACGGUGAAUACGUUCCCGGGUCUUGUACUCACCGCCCGUCACACCAUGGGAGUUGAUUUCACCCGAAAUUGGGAAGCUAACCUUCGGGGGGCUACCACUUACGGUGGAAUUAGCGACUGGGGUGAAGUCGUAACAAGGUAACC
rnacentral:rRNA from 1 species